rnacentral:rRNA from 1 species
GACGAACGCUGGCGGCGUGCUUAACACAUGCAAGUCGAACGGAAAGGCCCUGCUUUUGUGGGGUGCUUGAGUGGCGAACGGGUGAGUAACACGUGAGUAACCUGCCCUUGACUUUGGGAUAACUUCAGGAAACUGGGGCUAAGACCGUAUAGGAGCUCCUGCUGCAUGGUGGGGGUUGGAAAGUUUCGGCGGGUGGGGAUGGACUCGCGGCUUAUGAGCUUGUUGGUGGGGUAGUGGCUUACCAAGGCUUUGACGGGUAGCCGGCAUGAGAGGGUGACCGGCCACAUUGGGACUGAGAUACGGCCCAGAGUGCUACGGGAGGCAGCAGUGGGGAAUAUUACACAAUGAGCGGAAGCCUGAUGCAGCAACGCCGCGUGCGGGAUGACGGCCUUCGGGUUGUAAACAGCUUUCGGCUGUGACGAAGCGUGAGUGACGGUAAUGGGUAAAGAAGCACCGGCUAACUACGUG